GCUGGUGUAGCUCAGUGGUAGAGCAGACGCCUCGUAAGCGUCAGGCCGAGGGUUCGAGUCCCUCCACCAGCUCCA
rnacentral:tRNA from 1 species